rnacentral:lncRNA from 1 species
GGCAAAUUAUAUGCAUCAGUAAGUGAUAAAUGUUCAGGGCCAGCAAUCCUGAAAUAGUACAUGAAAGCCUUUCUUCUUCUCCUCUUUUCUGCCUACAGAGCACUUUUGAGCAAAGUUCAUCGCUGGCAGUACAAAGUCGCGGCCCGUAGAGGCUUCCACGUCGUUGCCGCCCGCUCAGAGGGCUGCCGGGGGGCUCCCGGGGGGCAGGGAAAGUCCGCGGACCACUGUUCCCAGCUGGUCCCCCUGCCUCCACCCCAGGGCAAGACCGUCAGAACGUCUCUGGACUCCAGCUGGAAUCCCAAGACCCCUGCAGCCUGGCAUCUUGGGACGAGAAGGAGCGACUGGAUGAUGUGGCCAGCGACCCAGACAUUUAGUCGCUCAUUCAACCACAGCGGCCUGGCAUCUCCCGUGUGACGCGCACCGUGCUAGCCCCGGGGGUGCCGCAGGCGCGACCAGGUCCCCCCCUGAGCCACUCGCCGUCCAGGACCCGGGGCGCUCCUUGGGCCAGCCUGGCAGGGGCGGCUGAACUUACAAAUCGGCUUCUGUGCUCCUGGCCCUGACCGGCCACAGCUCCAUUCCGUGCCCUUUAUUGGCUCGCUUUCCGCGUGGAGAGGUCGCGGUUUUAGUGUAGCACGAUGUUGAGAAUCUGUGGGAGGAUGGAGUCCCGGCUCAGAUGCCCUCGCGUCCCUGUGCCUCGGGCUUCUCAGGUGACAAUGGGAACAAUAAAGACUCUUACGGGGACA